AGGUCCCCAUAGGUGGGUG
rnacentral:misc_RNA from 1 species